rnacentral:siRNA from 1 species
UCGCAAACUGCGGUAAACUUGC